CCUGAACGCUGGCGGCGUGGCUAAGACAUGCAAGUCGCACGAAUGCAGCAAUGCAUUAGUGGCGAACGGGUGAGUAAUGAAUCGCUAACGUGCCCCGGACUCUGGGAUAGCCAUCCGAAAGGGUGGGUAAUACCGGAUGACAUAUCCCGCUCGCAGGAGCGGGAUCUCAAAGGUCCGCCGGUCUGGGAGCGGGCGAUUUCGUAUCAGCUAGUUGGNGGGGUAACCGGCCCACCAAGGCGACGACGCGUAGCCGGACUGAGAGGUUGGCCGGCCACAUUGGGACUGAGACACUGCCCAGACUCCGUACGGGGGCUGCAGUAACGAAUCUU
rnacentral:rRNA from 1 species